CUGACUUUCAGAACAGGUGGAGAAUGGACAGACAAGCAGGUCGCUGACACCGACAGUUAGUCUGAAGUCAUUGAUUUUGGCUGCACAUCCGGCUGUCCGACUCCCUGUGUGUUUAUCUUCAGCGCUAAGAAUGCUGCGCGUUCAGUUUUUUGACAUCUGUUAUCAUCACAACCCCGAUAACAUUGACUCUGACCUCCAGCCUCGGUCACGGCCACCGAUAUUCAAACACAGACAUUCUUGUGACGCCUGCAUAGCAUUUCUGUUGUACAGUACUUACCAUCCAGAGAGGCUGAUAAAACACACACAUACUCACAUUGAUGUGAAAAGUAAUUAUCUUUCAUCUAUGGUCUUUUACGCUUUUUCCUUCAGCUUUUAUCUCCUAUCACUGUUCUUGAAAUUUUGGCUGCCUGUAUGGAAAUGGAUCGGACUGUGCGUUUGACAGAGGGCAGGGUUAUGUAACAGCCUUAAACUCUAAUCUCUCCUCUCUCAGCAGGAACAAACCAGGAGCAGAAAGAGUGUGUGAGAAAGUGCACCAGAGGCCAAAAGAAGUAACAGACAGAAACUCGAAGAAACUCCAACAAAAAGAUGGCUAUUGGCAGGAACUCCAGGAUGAGCUCAGUCCGAAGCUCCAUCAGGGCCCCAAAGUUUCUGGACAAAUCGAGUGGCUUCUAUGGUCGCCUCGACGAGCCCGAGGCCGCCACAGAGGUAGAGGAGACUGGUGUAAAUGUUUGCAACAUAGAGGAGGCAGUCUCGAGUGACCCAUCCAUCACAGCGGUGCAUUGUUCUGAUGAGAAGGAAGAAGGCGAGGUGUUUGGCUUCAGCGAAGGCAUGAUGGAAGAUGACGACGAGAGCCUCCUGAGGAGGAAACCCAGCCGCCGCAGCAGCAGGUGGAGGAGAAGCUCCAGGAGGAAGCAGAAAGAGGGGAGAGCAGACGAGGACGCAGCCAGAGAGGAGAGGCCCAGCCUGGGCACGGAGGGUCCAGCUGACUUCCCCGAGGACAUCAGGGUGAAGAUUGAGAUAGAGAUGGAGAACCUGAAGAAGGUGGAGGAAGAAAAUGAAAAGGCGGGCUGGGAGAAGGAACCCGUGCUCGUUCACUUCCCGGCUCGGGAGGACGCUGACGACCAAGUCCUUAUCCGAGACAAGAAGAGAGGAAGAGAAGACGAAGAGGAGGAGGAGAGGAGGAUGACGAAGGAGCAAGAGGAAGGGAUGAAAGUGGUGAAGAGGAAAAAUUACCGCAAGGCCUUGGACCGAGCACUGCGCCGCGGCUGGGAGGCCUUCGUCGCCAACCUCUACAGCGUCACGCUCUCACCGGUGAACUCCUCGCCAUCGUCGUCUUCACCGUCGUCGAAGAAGAAGCACCAGCACAAUUCAGUGUUAGCAGAAUUUCAAUAGAAAUGGAGAUAGAGAUGGACAAUGAAGCUUGAGGCUUCUUAACUUUUAAUAAUAUCAGGGUCAUGCAGCGUUUUACCGCGACUGCUGCAAAGUAUCGGACAAUCCUGCCUGUAUAACAUUUACCACAUGACGUGUCUGAGUCAUCACCUCAGGAAUAUUAAUCAAUUAUGUAACUUACUGAGUCUUGAUUACUCAGCUGAACCUUUAUCGCCUUAUUAGGAUGCACCUUAGUCAGGACACAAACUGCAGGGAUCCACUUUAGCUCGAUGGGCUGCUGGUUUUACAGUGAAGUCUAUGAGACUGGCCUGAACAGAAAUCCCUGGUCUUUAUGUGACUGAGUUCAGCAGCUGCUCGUCCCCUUCUGAUCUCCAGUUUUAGUCAAGUAAGAGCAUUUUAGCUCUUAAUAUCCAGUUCGUUACUAAGAGCUCGCAGUGCAAAUGAUCUCUGCUUCCUUUGGUUUAGCGCUGUGAAACUCCUCGAGUGUUGAUGUGUAACCAAAGGGGGUGGAAAGUUUAAAACGUAGCAGCUGACUGAUGGACUUUAGCUGUGGAGUAAUACAUACUUCUGUAGGAUUAACCGUGGUGCUCGUUGCCUAAUCAGACAAGCUAUUUAUGAGUAAAUAGUAUGCAGUAAAUCAGUAAUUAAACUUUAUUAGGGAUUCACAUUAUUAUGGACACAUUCUAUUAUUUAUGUAGGCUUUAUUGCAAGUGAAAAAGACGGACAGGGUCCAACCUUGUGCAAAGGAAUAUGUAAGAGUUUCUAUUAGAGCUUUUUAGCUUUUUCCUCAUGAGGUCCCUGCGUGUGUUCUAGUGAAGGUUAUUAAACCUGAAGGGACAGAGCAGGGAGGUGUAAGCUUAGAUGUCCGUCCAGAAAAAGAUAAUGCUUAUUUUUGGUCAAAAAAGUCAUAUUAAAUAGUGCAUAUUUUCUCUAUUUGAAUGCAAAGUUGUGUCUUUUUUAUGUGUUUGAUUUGUAAAACUGACGACUGUAUUUAAGAACUAUUAAUAAUGGACGUUUGUAGAUGUGACAAAAAUGCAAUAAAUGGUCUUUAAUUUUCAAACAUUCA
ensembl:lncRNA